UACGUAGGGUGCAAGCGUUAAUCGGAAUUACUAGGCGUAAAGCGUGCGCAGGCGGUUGUGCAAGACCGAUGUGAAAUCCCCGGGCUUAACCUGGGAAUGGCAUUGGUGACUGCACGGCUAGAGUGUGUCAGAGGGGGGUAGAAUUCCUGGUGUAGAGGUGAAAUUCGUAGAUAUCAGGAGGAACACCAGUGGCGAAGGCGGCUCUCUGGACCAUAACUGACGCUGAGAUGCGAAAGCGUGGGUAGCAAACAGG
rnacentral:rRNA from 1 species